rnacentral:lncRNA from 1 species
AGCGCAAUUAAACCACGCAUUGCAUGAUGGGAUACCCGAGGGGCUGCCUGCCCCGCCUUGCCUGCUCCCAACCUCUCCACUCUGGCUUUUCUACCUCUCUUCUUCCAGGAGCACUGGAAGCCCAUCCCCCAUGUCUCCCAACCCUUCUCCCGCCAGCUCCGUGGGGUCUCAGGGCAGCCUUUCCAGUUCCAGCGGCCUGUCCCCAUCGACCAUUGUGAGCAUCCCCCAGCGAAUUCACCAGAUGGCGGCCAAUCACGUCAGCAUCACCAACAGCAUCCUCCACAGCUACGACUACUGGGAAAUGGCUGAUAACCUGGCCAAGGAAAACAGAGAGUUCUUCAAUGACCUGGAUUUGCUCAUGGGACCUGUCACCCUGCACAGCAGCAUGGAGCACCUGGUCCAGUACUCCCAGCAAGGCCUGCACUGGUUACGGAGCAGCACACACCUGUCCUAGGGGCCACACCGUUGAGCCGGACUGUGUUUCCUUCUCCUCAGUGGCUCAAUGUUUCCAGACACUGUGCUACUGACAUCCCCCGCCUAUGGCAUCCCCCAAACCACAGUGAACAUCUCCUCAGAGCCUAACAACGUUGUUUCUCUGGGGCGGGGGUGUGUGUUUAGAUGUGGGUUCGUACAAAGC